rnacentral:rRNA from 1 species
AACGAACGUUAGCGGCGCGCUUAACACAUGCAAGUCGAACGAGAAAGGGCUUCGGCCCCGGUACAGUGGCGCACGGGUGAGUAACACGUGGGUAAUCUACCCUCGAGCGGGGGAGUAACGUUCCGAAAGGAGCGCUAAUACCGCAUAAGACCACACUCUCGAAAGGGAGAGAGGUAAAAGUAGGCCUCUGAAUUCACGCUUACACUCGAGGAUGAGCCCGCGGCCCAUCAUGGUAGUUGGUAGGGUAAGUGGCCUACCAAGACCGAAGACGGGUAGCUGGUCUUAGAGGAUGAUCAGCCACACUGGAACUGAGACACGGUCCAGACUCCUACGGGAGGCAGCAGUGGGGAAGUCUUGCGCAAUGGGCGAAAGCCUGACGCAGCGACGCCGCGUGGGUGAUGAAGGCCUUCGGUCGUAAAGCUCUGUGGGGAGGAGACGAAUAAGACGUGGCGUAAUAUCCACGGCGAUGACGGUAGUCUCCUUAGCAAGCACCGGCUUAACUCUGUGCCA